rnacentral:rRNA from 1 species
UACGUAGGUGGCAAGCGUUGUCCGGAAUUAUUGGGCGUAAAGCGCGCGUAGGCGGCCUCUUAAGUCUGAUGUGAAAGCCCCCGGCUCAACCGGGGAGGGCCAUUGGAAACUGGGAGGCUUGAGUAUAGGAGAGAAGAGUGGAAUUCCACGUGUAGCGGUGAAAUGCGUAGAGAUGUGGAGGAACACCAGUGGCGAAGGCGACUCUUUGGCCUAUAACUGACGCUGAGGCGCGAAAGCGUGGGGAGCAAACAGG